AAAAUUCCUUUCCCAAAACUUCUGGACUUAAUAUUCAAACUCUAGUUAAAUCUCUAGGAAAUUACUAUUCAUUAGGUAUAUUCAAACACUUUCAAACCUAAAACCCUUCCAAAAGUUCCCUUUUAUGGCCAACCCAAACCCGCACCUUGAACUUUAUUCAAAUUUGAAAUAUAUUUCAAAUCCAUCUUUAAACUAAUGAAAAAUCAAACUAAAAUCUCAACGGGCCGCCAACCUUCCGUUCCACGCAUUCCUUCUUUCAGCCCGGCCCACCUUCCGC
rnacentral:lncRNA from 1 species